AUGACCAAAACUCAAGCGCAGAGGCACCGACUUACCUUGAACAGGGAGCAGUUCAUGAUGGUUGUUCCUCGUUGGUGCUAUGGAAGGCAUGACGGAUGGGCGUGUUUGGUGGAUAGGUGGCUCGGGGAUGAUGCAGAGUUUGCUGCCAAGAGCAGCAAGGCCCGGGCUAACCGUGGAAAAGACGGGACACACGGCCAAGGAAACAGGAACCACUGGGGCUUCAAGGCCAUGAAGGUAUGGCUAACUUAUUUUUGA
rnacentral:rRNA from 1 species